rnacentral:rRNA from 1 species
UACGUAGGGUCCGAGCGUUGUCCGGAAUUAUUGGGCGUAAAGAGCUCGUAGGUGGUGUGUCGCGUCGGAUGUGAAAGCCCGGGGCUUAACUCCGGGUCUGCAUUCGAUACGGGCAGGCUAGAGUUCGGUAGGGGAGAUCGGAAUUCCUGGUGUAGCGGUGAAAUGCGCAGAUAUCAGGAGGAACACCGGUGGCGAAGGCGGAUCUCUGGGCCGAUACUGACACUGAGGAGCGAAAGCGUGGGGAGCGAACAGG